rnacentral:rRNA from 1 species
CUUGGGUCUGAAAGUCGAUGAAGGACGCGAUUACCUGCGAUAAGCUUCGUGGAGUUGGAAAUAAACUAUGAUACGGAGAUUUCCGAAUGGGGUAACCUAACUGAGCAAACCUCAGUUGCAUUUUGAUGAAUCCAUAGUCAAAUUAGCGAGACACGUUGCGAAUUGAAACAUCUUAGUAGCAACAGGAAAAGAAAAUAAAUAAUGAUUUCGUCAGUAGUGGUGAGCGAAAGCGAAAGAGGCCAAACCUGUAAAAAGGGGUUGUAGGACAUCUUACAUUGAGUUACAAAAUUUUAUGAUAGUAGAAGAAGUUGGAAAGCUUCAACAUAGAAGGUGAUAUUCCUGUAUACGAAAUCAUAAAAUCUCAUAGAUGUAUCCUGAGUAGGGCGGGGCACGUGAAACCCUGUCUGAAUCUGCCGGGACCACCCGGUAAGGCUAAAUACUAAUCAGACACCGAUAGUGAACUAGUACCGUGAGGGAAAGGUGAAAAGAACCCCGAGAGGGGAGUGAAAUAGAUUCUGAAACCAUUUACUUACAAGUAGUCAGAGCACGUUAAAGUGUGAUGGCGUACAUCUUGCAGUAUGGGCCGGCGAGU